rnacentral:rRNA from 1 species
GAUGAACGCUAGCUACAGGCUUAACACAUGCAAGUCGAGGGGCAGCGGGAUUGAAGCUUGCUUCAAUUGCCGGCGACCGGCGCACGGGUGAGUAACGCGUAUCCAACCUUCCGCUUACUCGGGGAUAGCCUUUCGAAAGGAAGAUUAAUACCCGAUGGUAUCUUAAGCACGCAUGAGAUUAAGAUUAAAGAUUUAUCGGUAAGCGAUGGGGAUGCGUUCCAUUAGGCAGUUGGCGGGGUAACGGCCCACCAAACCUACGAUGGAUAGGGGUUCUGAGAGGAAGGUCCCCCACAUUGGAACUGAGACACGGUCCAAACUCCUACGGGAGGCAGCAGUGAGGAAUAUUGGUCAAUGGGCGAGAGCCUGAACCAGCCAAGUAGCGUGAAGGAUGACGGCCCUACGGGUUGUAAACUUCUUUUGUGCGGGAAUAAAGGAACCUACGUGUAGGUUUUUGCAUGUACCGUAACGAAUAAGCAUCGGCUAACUCCGUGCCAGCAGCCGCGGUAAUACGGAGGAUGCGAGCGUUAUCCGGAUUUAUUGGGUUUAAAGGGAGCGUAGACGGGUUUUUAAGUCAGCUGUGAAAGUUUGGGGCUCAACCUUAAAAUUGCAGUUGAAACUGGAGACCUUGAGUACGGUUGAGGCAGGCGGAAUUCGUGGUGUAGCGGUGAAAUGCUUAGAUAUCACGAAGAACCUCGAUUGCGAAGGCAGCCUGCUAAGCCGCCACUGACGUUGAGGCUCGAAAGUGCGGGUAUCAAACAGG